UCGGGAGUAUUCACAACAUCACUAUUUGAUUCGGGAUUGGCUCUCUCUCUAUCUAGGGUUUUGAAUAAGUUUUCUUUUCUAGCAGCAAUUCAAUCGGUACAGUGAUUUAAUUUGAUAUAUCUAGUCAGUGUAAAUUUUAAAAUAUAUCAAUUAUGAAAAAAAAUUCUAAAAGAUACUACAUAACAAGAUAAAUAAAGAUAAUAAAGAUAAUAAAGAUAAGUCGAUUCCUAAAAAAAAAAAUAAAGAUGCCCUGUAACACCAGACCAACAACAAGUUUGGUAAUUAAUUCGGCGGAUAUCUUUCUGUUUCCCUAUCACUGCUCAUCAUAAAAUCAUAAAAGAUGGGUAUGACGCAAUUUUAAUAUUAUUUAAUAUUUGGGCUCAAGAAACUGUGGACUAAAACCUAUAAAAAAAUAAUAAUAAAAAAUUUCAAUUAAGUCGGUUAAGAGGAGUGAGGAUCAAGAAACUAUAUGGACUUACUAUUCCUAUCAAAAUAAUAAUAAAUAAAUAAAUAAAUAAAAUCCUAAAAUCGUUUCAAAUUUACCUAAAACCCUAAAUUUUAACUUUACAAUAUAAACCCUUCUGCCACUGAAAGGAGGCCGACUGCAAGAGAAUGGGAAGGAAGAAAAAGCAAAGAAAGCCAGCAAUAGAAGACGGAAAAGAGGCCGACUGCAAGAGAAUGGGAAGGAGGAAGAAGCAAAGAAAGCCAGCCAUAGAAGAGGUCGACUGUACUAGAAUGGGAAGGAAGAAAAAGCAAAGCAAACCAGCAACAAGAGGGGACACACCAAGUCUUCCAUGUGAAAUCAUAUACAAUAUACUCUUGAGACUACCCAUCAAGUCUAUGUUGCGAUUCAGGAAUUCUGAGACAAGUCGAAAAAUGAUGUGUAUCCAUGGGCACUGAUAUAGAUAGGAAUUUAUUUUAUUUUAUUUCAAUUAAAGCUAUGUAAAAUUUAGCUAGGGAGGCCUCAUCCUUGUAUUUAAUUCUUUUUAAUUGUAUAAAAUGAGACUAUGAAAUUAUUUCAUGAUGAAUGGGCAAUGGAGUUAUGUUUUGAUCAA